rnacentral:rRNA from 1 species
CCUACGGGAGGCAGCAGUGGGGAAUAUUGCACAAUGGGCGAAAGCCUGAUGCAGCGACGCCGCGUGAGGGAUGACGGCCUUCGGGUUGUAAACCUCUUUCAGCAGGGAAGAAGCGAAAGUGACGGUACCUGCAGAAGAAGCGCCGGCUAACUACGUGCCAGCAGCCGCGGUAAUACGUAGGGCGCAAGCGUUGUCCGGAAUUAUUGGGCGUAAAGAGCUCGUAGGCGGCUUGUCACGUCGGAUGUGAAAGCCCGGGGCUUAACCCCGGGUCUGCAUUCGAUACGGGCUAGCUAGAGUGUGGUAGGGGAGAUCGGAAUUCCUGGUGUAGCGGUGAAAUGCGCAGAUAUCAGGAGGAACACCGGUGGCGAAGGCGGAUCUCUGGGCCAUUACUGACGCUGAGGAGCGAAAGCGUGGGGAGCGAACAGGAUUAGAUACCCUGGUAGUCCACGCCGUAAACGUUGGGAACUAGGUGUUGGCGACAUUCCACGUCGUCGGUGCCGCAGCUAACGCAU